rnacentral:rRNA from 1 species
AACCUUUGCAAUGUGCGCAAGCACGACAAGGUUAAUCCGAGUGUUUCCUGCUAAAGGAAUCUUUUGCUAGUCCUAAAAACACUAGCGAAUAAGGGGUGGGCAAGUUCUGGUGUCAGCCGCCGCGGUAAAACCAGCACCUCAAGUGGUCAGGAGGAUUAUUGGGCCUAAAGCAUCCGUAGCCUGCUCUGUAAGUUUCCGGUUAAAUCCAUUUGCUCAACAAAUGGGCUGCCGGAAAUACUGUAGAGCUAGGGAGUGGGAGAGGUAGACGGUACUCGGUAGGAAGGGGUAAAAUCCUUUGAUCUAUUGAUGACCACCUGUGGCGAAGGCGGUCUACCAGAACACGUUCGACGGUGAGGGAUGAAAGCUGGGGGAGCAAACCGGAUUAGAUACCCGGGUAGUCCCAGCUGUAAACGAUGCAGACUCGGUGAUGCGCUGGCUUGUGGCCAGUGCAGUGCCGCAGGGAAGCCGUUAAGUUUGCCGCCUGGGAAGUACGUACGCAAGUAUGAAACUUAAAGGAAUUGGCGGGGGAGCAC